GAUGAACGCUGGCGGCGUGGAUAAGGCAUGCAAGUCAAGGGGCCCUUCGGGGAACCGGCAAACGGGUUAGUAACGCGUAGGCAACGUACCUUUCUCUCAGGAAUAACUCCGUGAAAACGGGGCUAAUACCUGAUAGUAAUGGGGGGACAUAUGUCAUUCCCAUUUAAAGAUUUAUCGGAGAGAGAGCGACCUGCGUCCUAUCAGCUUGUUGGUGAGAUAACAGCUCACCAAGGCUAUGACGGGUAGGGGGUGUGAGAGCAUGGCCCCCAACAUCGGGACUGAGACACUGCCCGGACUCCUACGGGAGGCUGCAGUCGAGAAUCUUGGACAAUGCACGAAAGUGUGAUCCAGCGACGCCGCGUGUACGAAGAAGCUUUUCGGAGUGUAAAGUACUUUUCUAUGGGAACAAUUUUUGAGCUUACCAUAGGAAUAAGGGGUUGCUAACUACGUGCCAGAAGCAUCGGUAAUACGUAGGCCCCGAGCGUUAUCCGGAAUUAUUGGGCGUAAAGCGUCUGUAGGGGGUUUUGUAAGUUUGGUGUUAAAUCUCAAGGCUCAACCUUAAGGCUGCGCCAAAAACUGCAAAACUAGAGGAUGUGAGAGGCUGAUGGAACUUAUGGUGUAGGGGUGAAAUCCGUUGAUAUCAUAAGGAACACCAAGGGCGAAGGCAUUCAGCUGGCGCAAUCCUGACCCUGAGAGACGAAAGCGUGGGUAGCGAAUGGGAUUAGAUACCCCAGUAGUCCACGCCGUAAACGAUGAAUACUAGCUGUUCGGAGUAUCGACCCUCUGAGUGGCAAAGCUAACGCGUUAAGUAUUCCGCCUGGGAAGUACGGUCGCAAGACUAAAACUCAAAGGAAUAGACGGGAGCUCGCACAAGCGGUGGAGCGUGUGGUUUAAUUCGAUGAUAAGCGGAGAACCUCACCAAGGUUUGAAACUCUAGGGAAGUUUCUAAGAAAUUAGAAAUGUCUUUUAAGACUCUAGAGCAGGUGGUGCACGGUUGCCGUCAGCUCGUGGCGUGAGCUGUUCCCUUAAGUGGGGAAACGAGCGCAACCCUCAUCCUGUGUUACAAGUGUCACAGGAGACUGCGGCUGUAUAAGUCGAGGAAGGAGAGGACGACGUCAAAUCAGCGUGUCCCUUUGACACCUUGGGCGACACACGCGCUACAAUGGCCGGUACAACGGGUCGCUAAGCCGUAAGGUGGAGCUAAUCCCUAAAAACCGGUCCCAGUUCGGAUUGAGGUCUGCAACUCGACCUCAUGAAGCCGGAAUCGCUAGUAAUCGCGGAUCAGCCACGCCGCGGUGAAUACGUUCUCGAGCUUUGUACUCUCCGCCCGUCACAUCAAGGGAGCCGGGAAUAUCGGAAGACCCAACAUUCGUGGGGGACAAGGUAGGCUCGGUAACAGGG
rnacentral:rRNA from 1 species